UACGGAGGAUCCAAGCGUUAUCCGGAAUCAUUGGGUUUAAAGGGUCCGUAGGCGGUUUAAUAAGUCAGUGGUGAAAUCUGGUCGCUCAACGAUCAAACGGCCAUUGAUACUGUUAAACUUGAAUUAUUGUGAAGUAACUAGAAUAUGUAGUGUAGCGGUGAAAUGCUUAGAUAUUACAUGGAAUACCAAUUGCGAAGGCAGGUUACUAACAAUAUAUUGACGCUGAUGGACGAAAGCGUGGGGAGCGAACAGG
rnacentral:rRNA from 1 species